CUACUAAUGCAGCCCAAACUCAAGGGGAUUGCUUAAGGCUAUAAUACAUGAGGAGAUGGAGAUCACUGGGGGCUGCUUAGAUGCUGCCUACCACAGGCUACAUGGCUAUUCUUUUACAAUCUUGAUUUUUAACUUACAGCAACUUGUACUGGACAGACUGGAAUAGAGAAGCUCCUAAAAUUGAAACGUCAUCUUUAGAUGGAGAAAACAGAAGAAUUCUGAUCAAUACAGACAUUGGAUUGCCCAAUGGCUUAACCUUUGACCCUUUCUCUAAACUGCUCUGCUGGGCAGAUGCAGGAACCAAAAAACUGGAGUGUACACUACCUGAUGGAACUGGACGGCGUGUCAUUCAAAACAACCUCAAGUACCCCUUCAGCAUCGUAAGCUAUGCAGAUCACUUCUACCACACAGACUGGAGGAGGGAUGGUGUUGUAUCAGUAAAUAAACAUAGUGGCCAGUUUACUGAUGAGUAUCUCCCAGAACAACGAUCUCACCUCUACGGGAUAACUGCAGUCUACCCCUACUGCCCAACAGGAAGAAAGUAAGUACAGUAAUGUAAAGGAAGACUUGGAGUUUACAAUCAGAACCUGGACCCUAAAGAACAGUGACUGCAAAGGCAAAGAAAGUAAAAAAGGAAUUGGCCAUUAGACGUUCCUGAGCAUCCAAGAUGAACAUUUUGUAGUGCAAAAAGACUUUUGUGAAAAGCUGAUACCUCAAUCUUUACUAC
rnacentral:lncRNA from 10 species